AUUGAACGCUGGCGGCAGGCCUAACACAUGCAAGUCGAGCGGAUGAAGGGAGCUUGCUCCUGGAUUCAGCGGCGGACGGGUGAGUAAUGCCUAGGAAUCUGCCUGGUAGUGGGGGAUAACGUCCGGAAACGGGCGCUAAUACCGCAUACGUCCUGAGGGAGAAAGUGGGGGAUCUUCGGACCUCACGCUAUCAGAUGAGCCUAGGUCGGAUUAGCUAGUUGGUGGGGUAAAGGCCUACCAAGGCGACGAUCCGUAACUGGUCUGAGAGGAUGAUCAGUCACACCGGAACUGAGACACGGUCCAGACUCCUACGGGAGGCAGCAGUGGGGAAUAUUGGACAAUGGGCGAAAGCCUGAUCCAGCCAUGCCGCGUGUGUGAAGAAGGUCUUCGGAUUGUAAAGCACUUUAAGUUGGAAGGAAGGGCAGUAAGUUAAUACCUUGCUGUUUUGACGUUACCAACAGAAUAAGCACCGGCUAACUUCGUG
rnacentral:rRNA from 1 species